rnacentral:lncRNA from 1 species
GAUGUUGUUUCACGAAUUCUUUGGUUUCUAUAACCAUUUGUUGCGUCAAAUUUACAUUCUUGUAAAAAAACGAGAUGUAUUUGGUUAUUACACAAAAAUGAACUUUUAAAUCUUUAAAUUUGCUACGGCUGAGCUUCAAAUCAGAGGGAGACUCAAGUUGAGUUGAUGAAAUCAAAAGUCGAUCUUCUCCAAAAAAAAUAACACGCAUACUAACAUUAGACACCACAACAAAUGACUGCAAAAAGAUACAUUGGUCAUACCCAUAAAAAACCACCCUACAGAAUUGUAAGCAUCAGUUCUGAAACCACAACAGACCAACAUUCCCAUCAGACGGAAAUGCCAUCAAAAUCCAGCUAAAAACUCCCCAAAGCAACAAGGGUAAGACAUCUAAAUAUUUCCUGGGUAGAAGCAAUCAAUCAAUACAAUGCCCAUGAAUCAAAACUAGCGUAUGGUUCCCUAGCUCCUACUGCUAAUAAUGCACAAUUAUUACAAGAUACACUUCCUAGGUUGCAAGACCAAGCACCGUUCCAUCCAUUAUAUGUACCUUCGAGGCGUUUCCAGAUUUUCUUUUCCCCGAAAAUCAGGUGCUCGGGGGAGCUGAACUGGGUNNNN